rnacentral:rRNA from 1 species
UAGAGUUUGAUCCUGGCUCAGAUUGAACGCUGGCGGCAGGCCUAACACAUGCAAGUCGAGCGGUAGCACAGAGAGCUUGCUCUCGGGUGACGAGCGGCGGACGGGUGAGUAAUGUCUGGGAAACUGCCUGAUGGAGGGGGAUAACUACUGGAAACGGUAGCUAAUACCGCAUAACGUCGCAAGACCAAAGUGGGGGACCUUCGGGCCUCAUGCCAUCAGAUGUGCCCAGAUGGGAUUAGCUGGUAGGUGGGGUAACGGCUCACCUAGGCGACGAUCCCUAGCUGGUCUGAGAGGAUGACCAGCCACACUGGAACUGAGACACGGUCCAGACUCCUACGGGAGGCAGCAGUGGGGAAUAUUGCACAAUGGGCGCAAGCCUGAUGCAGCCAUGCCGCGUGUGUGAAGAAGGCCUUCGGGUUGUAAAGCACUUUCAGCGGGGAGGAAGGCGUUAAGGUUAAUAACCUUGGCGAUUGACGUUACCCGCAGAAGAAGCACCGGCUAACUCCGUGCCAGCAGCCGCGGUAAUACGGAGGGUGCAAGCGUUAGUCGGAAUUACUGGGCGUAAAGCGCACGCAGGCGGUCUGUCAAGUCGGAUGUGAAAUCCCCGGGCUCAACCUGGGAACUGCAUUCGAAACUGGCAGGCUAGAGUCUUGUAGAGGGGGGUAGAAUUCCAGGUGUAGCGGUGAAAUGCGUAGAGAUCUGGAGGAAUACCGGUGGCGAAGGCGGCCCCCUGGACAAAGACUGACGCUCAGGUGCGAAAGCGUGGGGAGCAAACAGGAUUAGAUACCCUGGUAGUCCACGCUGUAAACGAUGUCGAUUUGGAGGUUGUGCCCUUGAGGCGUGGCUUCCGGAGCUAACGCGUUAAAUCGACCGCCUGGGGAGUACGGCCGCAAGGUUAAAACUCAAAUGAAUUGACGGGGGCCCGCACAAGCGGUGGAGCAUGUGGUUUAAUUCGAUGCAACGCGAAGAACCUUACCUGGUCUUGACAUCCACAGAACUUUCCAGAGAUGGAUUGGUGCCUUCGGGAACUGUGAGACAGGUGCUGCAUGGCUGUCGUCAGCUCGUGUUGUGAAAUGUUGGGUUAAGUCCCGCAACGAGCGCAACCCUUAUCCUUUGUUGCCAGCGGUCCGGCCGGGAACUCAAAGGAGACUGCCAGUGAUAAACUGGAGGAAGGUGGGGAUGACGUCAAGUCAUCAUGGCCCUUACGACCAGGGCUACACACGUGCUACAAUGGCAUAUACAAAGAGAAGCGACCUCGCGAGAGCAAGCGGACCUCAUAAAGUAUGUCGUAGUCCGGAUUGGGGUCCGCAACUCGACUCCAUGAAGUCGGAAUCGCUAGUAAUCGUAGAUCAGAAUGCUACGGUGAAUACGUUCCCGGGCCUUGUACACACCGCCCGUCACACCAUGGGAGUGGGUUGCAAAAGAAGUAGGUAGCUUAACCUUCGGGAGGGCGCUUACCACUUUGUGAUUCAUGACUGGGGUGAAGUCGUAACAAGGUAGCCGUAA